rnacentral:rRNA from 1 species
GACGAACGCUGGCGGCGCGCCUAACACAUGCAAGUCGAGCGAUGAAAUUUUAACCGAUCUCUUCGGAGAGAAGAUAAAAUGGAUUAGCGGCGGACGGGUGAGUAACACGUGAGAAACCUGCCUUUCACAAGGGGAUAGCCUCGGGAAACCGGGAUUAAUACCCUAUGACACAUUUCCUUCGCAUGGAAGAAAUGUUAAAACUCCGGUGGUGAAAGAUGGUCUCGCGCCUGAUUAGCUAGUUGGUGGGGUAACGGCCCACCAAGGCCAUGAUCAGUGACCGGCCUGAGAGGGUGAACGGUCACAUUGGAACUGAGACACGGUCCAAACUCCUACGGGAGGCAGCAGUGGGGAAUAUUGCACAAUGGAGGAAACUCUGAUGCAGCGACGCCGCGUGAGCGAUGAAGGCUUUCGAGUCGUAAAGCUCUGUCCUAUGGGAAGAUAAUGACGGUACCAUAGGAGGAAGCCCCGGCUAACUACGUG